CGGAUUGUAGUCUGCAACUCGACUACAUGAAGCUGGAAUCGCAGUAAUCGCGAAUCAGAAUGUCGCGGUGAAUACGUUCCCGGGUCUUGUACACACCGCCCGUCACACCAUGGGAGUCGGGAAUGCCCGAAGUCAGUGACCCAACCGGAAGGAGGGAGCUGCCGAAGGCAGGCUCGAUAACUGGGGUGAAGUCGUAACAAGGUACC
rnacentral:rRNA from 1 species